GAUGAAGAACGUAGCGAAAUGCGAUACGUAAUGUGAAUUGCAAAUUCAGUGAAUCAUCGAGUCUUUGAACGCACAUUGCGCCCCCUGGUAUUCCGGGGGGCAUGCCUGUCCGAGCGUCAUUGCUGCCCUCAAGCACGGCUUGUGUGUUGGGCCCCGUCCUCCGAUCCCGGGGGACGGGCCCGAAAGGCAGCGGCGGCACCGCGUCCGGUCCUCGAGCGUAUGGGGCUUUGUCACCCGCUCUGUAGGCCCGGCCGGCGCUUGCCGAUCAACCCAAAUUUUUAUCCAGGUUGACCUCGGAUCAGGUAGGGAUACCCGCUGAACUUAAGCAUCUCAAUAAGCGGAGGA
rnacentral:misc_RNA from 1 species